AAUACCAACUUAUUUAUUUCAUUUUAUAGACACAUAAUUAAUGACUUCAUCAGUUAAUGAACAUUUGGUUGUUUCCACAUUUUUUUGAGUGUGCUGGGAAUCAAAUCCAGGGUUUACAUGUGCCAAGCAAGUGCUCCACCACUGAGCCAGACCCACAGCUGUCUACUUUUUGGCUAUUAUGAAUAAUGCUGUUGUAAACAUUUGGGUACAAGUUUUUCUAUGGAAUUAUAUUUUCAUUUAUAUAUAGCUGGGAAUGGAAUUGAUGGGUCUUCAAGGCUAUUUCCCAAAAUGUCUGUCCCAUUUUUUACAUUCCCGCCAGCAAUACACAAGGGCUCCAAUUUCUCCACAUACUUGUCAACACUUAUUGUUAUGUAUUUUGUGUUAUAGCCAUCUUUGUGGGUGUGAAUUGGUAUUUCUUUGUUUUUAUUUGUAUUUCCCUAAUUUCAGCUAAUGAUGUUGAACAUCUUUUUAUGUGCUUACUCGUCACCUACAUUUCUCAUUUGGAGAAAUAUUUAUUUAAAUCCUUUGCCCAUUUUUUUGGUGGGGGGUUUACUGGGGAUUUUACCCAGGAGUGCUUUACCACUGAGCUGCGUCCCCAGUCCUAUUUAUUUAUUUUUAAUAUUUUUUCUUAGUUAUACAUGGACACGAUAUCUUUAUUUUGUUUAUUUACCUUUUAUAUGGUGCUGAGGAUUGAACCCAGUGCCUCACAUGCGCGAGGCAAGUGCUCUGCCACUGAGCCACAACCCCAGCUAUUUAUUUAUUUUUUUGAGACAGGGUCUCACUCUGUUGCUUAAGGACUUGCUAAUUUGCUAAGGCUGGCCUCAAACUUGGAAUCUUCCUACCUCAAUCUCCCAGUUUUUAACUUUAAGCAGUUAAGCAGUUUUUAACUUUUAGCAAAGUGUUACUUUUAAAAAUGUUUUCAGUUGUAGAUGGACACAAUACCUUUGUUUUAUUUUUAUUUAUUUAUUUUUUGGUGCUGAGGAUUGAACUCAGUGCCUCUGAUGUGCCAGGCAAACACCCUAGUACUGAGCCACAACCCCAGCCCCAGUUUUUAACAUUUUUUUUUUUUUUUGUAGUUGCAGAUGGACAGCAUGCCUUUAUUUUGUUUUUUAACUUCUUUGAACUGAUACAUAAAAGUGUAACAGUUGUACAUAGUGCCAUGUAGGUAGGCUGAUGUUCACAAUUAUUCCCUCCACCCUAUUCCCAGUUUAUCUUGGCAUUAACUUGUUCUAUUUCUUUUUCAGAUCCCUCAAGAGUCACCCCCUUUUCCUCCAACUAAUUGAAGUAGAGGGCAGAAAACCAACUUUUCUCUGCCAGCCAAUCUCUGAACUGGGCAGGUUUCAGAGCCAAGAAGUUAAAGUCUUUAGGCUGAUAAGAUUUGCCUCUGAAGAAAGUCUUUUCCAGAGAAGCAGCUGCUCUUGAUGGGAAAACUGCAUUCAUUUCCUUUUUAAUGUCACAUGGCAGAAGAAAUAGCCUGGGAAAUAUGUAGGCCACAGUAGUCUAAACCAGGGAUCUCACUACAUCAGGGUUACCAUAAGGGUAGAAGGAAAUGACUUAAUUUAUAAUCCCUAAUAGUUGUGUUUUUAACUGAGCCAUCUGAUACACACACACACACACACACACACACACACACUUUUUUAAAUAAAAUGAGAAAUAGCAUGAACUUUUUAUUAAAGAAUAAAGUAAUAAUUUUUAAUAGUACACCAGGUGUGUGAGCUGU
rnacentral:lncRNA from 1 species